rnacentral:rRNA from 1 species
GGGUUGUGAGGUUAAGUGACUAAGCGUACACGGUGGAUGCCUAGGCAGUCAGAGGCGAUGAAGGGCGUGCUAAUCUGCGAAAAGCGUCGGUAAGGUGAUAUGAACCGUUACAACCGGCGAUACCCGAAUGGGGAAACCCAGUGUGUUUCGACACACUAUCAUGUCAUGAAUACAUAGUGGCAUGAGGCGAACCGGGGGAACUGAAACAUCUAAGUACCCCGAGGAAAAGAAAUCAACCGAGAUUCCCCCAGUAGCGGCGAGCGAACGGGGAGGAGCCCAGAACCUGAAUCGGCUUGUGUGUUAGUGGAAGCGUCUGGAAAGUCGCGCAGCAAAGGGUGAUAGCCCCGUACACUAAAAUGCACAGGUCGUGAGUUCGAUGAGUAGGGCGGGACACGUGACAUCCUGUCUGAAUAUGGGGGGACCAUCCUCCAAGGCUAAAUACUCCUGACUGACCGAUAGUGAACCAGUACCGUGAGGGAAAGGCGAAAAGAACCCCGGCGAGGGGAGUGAAAUAGAACCUGAAACCGUGUACGUACAAGCAGUGGGAGCACCUUCGUGGUGUGACUGCGUACCUUUUGUAUAAUGGGUCAGCGACUUAUAUUUUGUAGCAAGGUUAACCGUAUAGGGGAGCCGUAGGGAAACCGAGUCUUAACUGGGCGAAUAGUUGCAAGGUAUAGACCCGAAACCCGGUGAUCUAGCCAUGGGCAGGUUGAAGGUUGGGUAACACUAACUGGAGGACCGAACCGACUAAUGUUGAAAAAUUAGCGGAUGACUUGUGGCUGGGGGUGAAAGGCCAAUCAAACCGGGAGAUAGCUGGUUCUCCCCGAAAGCUAUUUAGGUAGCGCCUCGUGAACUCAUCUUCGGGGGUAGAGCACUGUUUCGGCUAGGGGGCCAUCCCGGCUUACCAAACCGAUGCAAACUCCGAAUACCGAAGAAUGUUAUCACGGGAGACACACGGCGGGUGCUAACGUCCGUCGUGAAGAGGGAAACAACCCAGACCGCCAGCUAAGGUCCCAAAGUCAUGGUUAAGUGGGAAACGAUGUGGGAAGGCAUAGACAGCCAGGAUGUUGGCUUAGAAGCAGCCAUCAUUUAAAGAAAGCGUAAUAGCUCACUGGUCGAGUCGGCCUGCGCGGAAGAUGUAACGGGGCUAAACCAUGCACCGAAGCUGCGGCAGCGACGCUUAGGCGUUGUUGGGUAGGGGAGCGUUCUGUAAGCCGUUGAAGGUGGCCUGUGAGGGUUGCUGGAGGUAUCAGAAGUGCGAAUGCUGACAUAAGUAACGAUAAAGCGGGUGAAAAGCCCGCUCGCCGGAAGACCAAGGGUUCCUGUCCAACGUUAAUCGGGGCAGGGUGAGUCGACCCCUAAGGCGAGGCUGAAAAGCGUAGUCGAUGGGAAACAGGUUAAUAUUCCUGUACUUGGUGUUACUGCGAAGGGGGGACGGAGAAGGCUAGGCUAGCCGGGCGACGGUUGUCCCGGUUUAAGCGUGUAGGGGGUGUGACCUGGUAAAUCCGGUUGCAUA